CUCAUUUUCUCUUGCUGCUACCAUGGAAGAAGCGACUUUCGCCUCCCGCCGUGAUUCUGAGGCCUUUCCAGCCAUGUCAAACUCAAAAUGUGACUGAAAAACAGAAGCAUUUGGAAUACGUAACAGAAGUCAUUAAAAAGAGUGGAAGUGGUGGACAAGGGGAGAAACAGUUGGUGUUUUCAAGUAAGAGUACCAGAAAGGCAGAAAGGAGAGACCUACUUAAAUAAAGAAGAAGAAAAAAUGUGUUUGAGUAUCUUUUGGAUUAUUGCUAAAUAUUACCUUGUACAUAUUGAGAAUGAGAUUCCACAGUGGCGAUCCAAGAACAACUAUCAUGGAGCAAUAAGCUGGAGAACAAGAGUUUGUGAAAUCCUGGGAGAUGCUGGAGUCUCAAUUAGCCACAGAAAAGAGAUAUUGUUGAAAACCUGAGUAUAGCUAGAGUUGCGUUAGAGUAAUAACUAUCCUUUCUGUACUCUAAAAAGUUUAGAAAAGAAGGUCUGGAUGAGUCAAGUUUAUGCAAAAGUAAGUUAACUAUCUGAAAAUACUUUUUAAAAGAAAACGUACCCGUUCAAAAUAUCCAGUGUACAAUAAUGACAUUAAUAGAUAUUCAAAAUAGCAAGAAGUGUAACACACAACUAUGAGAAAAACCAAUCAGUAGAAACAGAACCAAAAAUUAAGAUGGUAGUAUUGUCAGUCAAGGACUUUAAAAUAUAUAUUUAAAAGAUAUUCAAGAAUUUAAAGGAGCCAGGUGUGAUGAUUCAUUCCUGUAAUCACAGCGGUUUGAAAGGCCAAGGUGGGAGGAUCCACUGAGGCCAGGGUUUCAAGACCAGCCCUGGAAACAUAGUGAGCCUGGUGACAAGUGCCUGCAGUCCCAGAUGUGGGAGGAUCACUUGAGUUAGAGGCUGCAUGCAGCAAACUAUAAACGCACUCUUUCACUACAUGCUGGGCAACAAA
rnacentral:lncRNA from 1 species